UGUGAACAGAUAGUCAACAUU
ensembl:piRNA 21ur-467 ncRNA